rnacentral:rRNA from 1 species
GUACGGGAGGCAGCAGUGGGGAAUUUUGCGCAAUGGGGGAAACCCUGACGCAGCAACGCCGCGUGAGUGAUGAAGGCCUUCGGGUCGUAAAGCUCUGUCAGAGGGAAAGAAAUGUGGGGAGGCUAAUACCCUUUUCACUUGACGGUACCCUCAAAGGAAGCACCGGCUAACUCCGUGCCAGCAGCCGCGGUAAUACGGAGGGUGCAAGCGUUGUUCGGAAUUAUUGGGCGUAAAGCGCGUGUAGGCGGUCUUUUAAGUCUGAUGUGAAAGCCCCGGGCUCAACCUGGGAAGUGCAUUGGAAACUGGAAGACUUGAGUACGGGAGAGGGCAGUGGAAUUCCUAGUGUAGGAGUGAAAUCCGUAGAUAUUAGGAGGAACACCGGUGGCGAAGGCGGCUGCCUGGACCGAUACUGACGCUGAGACGCGAAAGCGUGGGGAGCAAACAGGAUUAGAUACCCCGGU